CAGGUCGGCCAGGCGGUCGCGCUCCGCGCCUUGCGCGGGGUGAGGAAAGUCCGGGCUCCACAGGGCACGGUGCUGGGUAACACCCAGGCGGGGUAACCCGACGGAUAGGGCCACAGAAACAGACCGCCGGGUUGGGAGGGGGUAGGCAGGUAAAUGGGUGAAUGGGGAGUGGGUGGGGUGUGCGCAUCCUGCCGAUUCUCCACAUACCAGAUACCAGUCUACCAGUAUACCAGAUACCAGUCUACCAGUAUACCAGAUACCAGUCCACCAUCCUCCCGACCCGGUAAGGGUGAAAAGGUGGUGUAAGAGACCACCGGCGUCCGGGGUGACCCGGGCGGCCAGGCAACCCCCACCGGGAGCAAGGCCAAGCAGGGGCGACGUAGGGGCAACCCUUGCGGUUGCCCCUACACGGGGCGGCCCGUCCCGUCCGAGCCCCGGGUGGGCCGCAUGAGGCGGCGGGCAACCGCCGUCCCAGAGAGAUGACCGCCCACGACAGAACCCGGCUUAUCGGCCGGCCUGGAGC
rnacentral:RNase_P_RNA from 1 species